GUGCCAGCAGCCGCGGUAAGACAGAGGUGCCGAGCGUUAGGCGGAAUCACUGGGCUUAAAGCGUGUGUAGGCGGGUCGUUAAGUGCUUUGUGAAAUCCCCCGGCUCAACCGGGGAACUGCUUGGCAGACUGGCGACCUUGAGCCACCUAGGGGCAACUGGAACGAACGGUGGAGCGGUGAAAUGCGUAGAUAUCGUUCGGAACGCCAAUGGUGAAAACAGGUUGCUGGGGGUGUGCUGACGCUGAGACACGAAAGCCAGGGGAGCGAACGGGAUUAGAAACCCUUGUAGUCC
rnacentral:rRNA from 1 species